AUGGACCAGUCAAAGAAAGGGUUCUUGCCUAUGUUGCAAGGUGUGAAAUUGAGUCAGACUCAAAGUCCGACCACGACAGAAGAUAGAGAGAGAAUGAAAGUCAUUCCCUAUGCCUUAGCCAUAGGAUCUAUAAUGUAUGUCAUGUUGUGUACCAAACCUGAUGUGUGCCUUGCCAUAAGUUUGGCAAGGAGGUACCAAAGUAAUCCAGGAGUGGAUCACUGGACAGCGGUCAAGAAUAUCAUGAACUACCUGAAAAGGACCAAGGAUAUUUUUCUCGUUUAUGGAUGUGACGGAGAGCUUGUCAUAAAGGGUUGCGUCAAUGCUAUCUUCAACACAGAUCUGGAUGACUAUAAAUCACAAAUGGAUACGUAUUUAUAUUGA
rnacentral:rRNA from 1 species